AUUGAACGCUGGCGGCAUGCCUUACACAUGCAAGUCGAACGGCAGCACGGGUGCUUGCACCUGGUGGCGAGUGGCGAACGGGUGAGUAAUACAUCGGAACGUACCUUAUCGUGGGGGAUAACGCAGCGAAAGUUGCGCUAAUACCGCAUACGCCCUGAGGGGGAAAGCGGGGGACCGUAAGGCCUCGCGCGAUUAGAGCGGCCAAUGUCUGAUUAGCUUGUUGGUGAGGUAAAAGCUCACCAAGGCGAUGAUCAGUAGCUGGUCUGAGAGGACGAUCAGCCACACUGGGACUGGGACACGGCCCAGACUCCUACGGGAGGCAGCAGUGGGGAAUUUUGGACAAUGGGGGCAACCCUGAUCCAGCAAUGCCGCGUGAGUGAAGAAGGCCUUCGGGUUGUAAAGCUCUUUUGUCAGGGAAGAAACAGCAGCUCUAACACAGUCUGCGAAUGACGGUACCUGAAGAAUAAGCACCGGUUAACUACGUGCCAGCCGCCGCCGUAA
rnacentral:rRNA from 1 species